AUAUAUAUGUGUGUAUAUUUUUUUUUUAUUAUUUUUUUUUCUGAGACGGAGUCUUGCUUUGUCACCCAGGCUGGAGUGCAGUGGUGCGAUCUUGGCUCACUGCAACCUCCACCUCCUGGGUUCAAGCAAUUCUCCUGCCUCAGCCUCCCAAGCAGCUGGGACUACAGAUGCGUGCCAUUAUGCUUGGCUAAUUUUUUUUAUUUUUAGUAGAGACAGGGUUUUGCCAUGUUGGCCAGGCUGGUCUCCAACUCCUGGCCUCAAGUGAUCCGCCCGCCUUGGCCUCCCAAGGUGCUGGGAUUACAGGCUUGAGCCACCAUGCCCGGCCUCUUGUUUCUAUAUUAAAGAGACAUUUACCUAACUAGAUAAAGACCUGCUAUGCCAUUAACUUAACUUUUUUUUUUUUUUUUUUUUUUAGAGACAGGGUCUCACUCUGUUACUCAGGCUAGAGGUGAGUGGCACGAUCACAGCUAACCUCAGCCUUGACCUACCUGGCUUAAGUGAUCCUCCCACCUCAGCCUCCCAAGUAGCUGGGACCAUAGGUGCAGCGUAAGCCACCACAUCAUUUAGCAGAAACGGGGUCUUAGUAUGUUGCCCAGGCUGUUCUUGAACUCCUAGGCUCAAGCCAUCCAACCACCCAAUCUCUCAAAGUGCUGGGAUUACAGGUGUGAGCCACCACACCCAUCUCACACCAUUAACUCUUUCAGUCAAUCUGCAUUAAGCAUUUAGUAUGUACUUGGUACUAUGGAAAGCAUCAAAGAAAUUGACACUACAGGUUCUAAAAACUUUCCAUUGAGGAAUUAAGACUUAGUCGGUCUCUAGCUGUGUGAUCUUAAGCUAGUUACUUAAUGUCUCUGAGUUUCCAUUUCCUGAUCUAUAAAAUAAGGAUGAAAUAUUGCUCUUGCAAGGCUCUUGUAUAUCCAUGUAUUCAGCAAAUAUAGCUUGAGUUCCUACUCAGUGUUCCACACACCUUUAGGAAGCAGAGAUUCAGUAGUGCUGGGCAUUGGAAGGAGUUUUCAGUGGGGAUGGAAUCCAGGCUGCAAAGAGAAAGCAUUUGUAUGUGAACGCUUCUGGAAAAUUACUUAAAGCUGGGCUCAGUGGCACACGCCUGUAGUCCCAGCUGCCCAGGAAACUGGGGUGGGAGGAUCUCCUGAGCCCGGGAGGCUCAGGAGGCUGCAGUGAGCCAUGAUUGAGUCACUGCAUUCCAGCCUGGGAGACAGAGCAAGACCCCGUCUAGAAAAAUAACUGAGACAUCCACCUUCUCCUGCCAUUGGACAUCUCGGGCCUUCUGACUUGGACCAGGACAGAUGCUGUUGGCUCCCUUGGUCCUCAGGCUUUCAGAUUCGUACUGGAACCGCAUCACCAGCUUUCUCGGGCCUCCAGCUUGCAGAUGGCAGAUAGUGGGACUUCUCCGCCUCCAUAAUCCUAUGAAUCAAUCCCUGUAAUAAAUCUCUUCCUGUUCAUAACUAUCUAUCUAUUUAUCUGUCUAUCUAUCUAUCUAUCUACCUACCUACCUACCUAUUAUCUGUCUACCUAUCGCUGAUUUUUUUUUUUGAGAUGGAGUCUCACUCUAUUGCUCAGGCUGGAGUGCAGUGGUGUGAUCUUGCCUCACUGCAACCUCUGCCUUCUGGGUUCAAGCGAUUCUCCUGCCUCAGCCUCCCAAGUAGCUGGGACUACAGGCAUGUGCCACCACGCCCAGCUAAUUUUUGUAUUUUUAGUAGACAUGAGGUUUCACCAUGUUGCCCAGGCUGUUUUCGAAUUCCUGACCUCAGGUGAUCCGCCCAUCUCAGCCUCCCAAAGUGGUGGGAUUACGGGCAUUACCUAUCAUCUAUUUAUCUCUUUAUUAUCUAUCUAUCUAUCUAUCUAUCUAUCUAUCUAUCAUCUGGUAUCUAUCACCUAUCUCAUCUAUGAUCUAUCAAUCUAUUAUCUAUCAUCUAUCUAUUAAUCUAUUAUCUAUCAAUCUAUCACCUAUCAAUCUAUUUCUAUUAUUUAUCUAUUAUAAAUCAAUCUAUUGCUCUAUCUGCCUAUCAUCUAUUUAUCAUCUAUCUACCUAUCAUCUAUUUAUGUACCUAUCUACCUAUCAUCUAUUUAUCAUCUAUUAUCUAUCACUUAUCUAUCAUCUAUCAAUCUACACUUGAUUUUAGCCAAAAGGCCAAGAGGCGAUCUAUCUAUCAUCUAUCAAUCUAUUAUCUAUCAUCUAUUAAUAUAAUUAUCUAUCUAUCUAUCUAUCUAUCUAUCUAUCUAUCUAUCUAUCCUACUGGUUCUAUUUCCCUGGAGAACCCUGACUAACACAGGCGGUAAGUAAGUUGUAGUGGUAACUGGGUUUGAGUCUGCCUCCUCCACUCCUCAACCACUUGAAUCUCUCUAUGCCCUGCCUUAGCCACCUAUGAAAUGGGAAUAAUUACAGCAAGGCCAACUCUUCUUCUUUUUUGGAGACGGAGUCUCACUCUUUCACCCAGCCUGGAGUGCAGUGGUGCGAUUUCAGCUCACUGCAACCUCCGCCUCCUGGGUUCAAGUAAUUCUCCUGCCUCAGCCUCCGGAGUAGCCGGCUAAUUUUUUUGUAUUUUUAGUAGAGACGGGGUUUCACCUUGUUGCCCAGGCUGAUUUCAAACUCCUGAGCUCAGGCUAACCGCCUGUCUUGGCCAAGUCUUCUUAAUGUCUGUUCAGCAUCUCUUCUCCCUGUCUUCCUUUUGUCACUGGAACCCCCCCAUAGGAUGCCCUAACACACAGAUUUUGGUAUGAGUGUGUUCGGCCCCAUCUAACUGAGGAUGCAUCGGAGAGGUCAGAUGUGCACAUUCACUGUGAAGGGACAGCCUUGAACGUGGACCCACACAGGGGUGAUUACUGGUGAUGAAAACUCCCUUGAGUUUUACUGAGUUGCAUUGCCAGAAGUGACAUGAUUGUCUAAAGUAGUGAACAAGUUUUGGUAAUGUUCCAAACAAAAGAAAGUACAGGCUUCCUUUAAUUUAUACAGAAGUGACCUUUGUGGAAAAUUCAAUAAUAUUGUCUUAAGUCUGUUUUUUGUUGCUUAUAACAGAAAUAACAUAAUACAUAAAACUUGGUAAUUUAUAAAUAAAAGGAAUUAUUACUUUUUUAAUUUUUAAUUUAUGUGGGUACAUAGUAGGUACAUAUAUGAGGAAUUAUUUCUUACAAUUAUGGAGGCUAAGUCCCAGGCUCGAGGGGCUGCAUCUGAUGAGUGCCUUCUUGCUGUUGGGGACUCUUUGCAGAGACCCAAAGAAGCACAGGGCAUCCCAUGAAGAGGGGCCUGAGCAGCUACCUGAGGUCUCUCUUCUUCUUCUUCUAAAGCCACAAGUCCC
rnacentral:lncRNA from 1 species